GGGGCUGAACGGUUUCGACUUCGCGCAUCGAAUCAAGGGAAGCGUGCCGGUGCAGGCAAGAGACCACCGUAAGCGUCGUUGCGACCAAAUAAGCGCCGAUUCACAUCAGCGCGACUACGCUCUCGCUGCCUAAGCGACGGCUAGUCUGUCAGACCGGGAACGCCCUCGGCCCGGACCCUGGCAUCAGCUAGAGGGAUCCACCGAUGAGUCCGGUCGCGGGACUCCUCGGGACAACCACAGCGACUGGGAUCGUCAUCUCGGCUAGUUCGCGUGACCGGGAGAUCCGAGCAGAGGCAUAGCGAACUGCGCACGGAGAAGCCUUGAGGGAAUGCCGUAGGACCCGGGUUCGAUUCCCGGCAGCUCCACCG
rnacentral:tmRNA from 38 species